UUCCUCCCACAUCCCAAAGACGUGCGGGUUUGUAGGUUAAUUGGCCUCUGCAAAUUGUCUCGAGUGUGUCGGGACUGGAUGAGAAAGUAGGACAACAUAGAAUUAACCUGAACAGGUGACCAAUGCUUGGUGUGGACUCGGUAUACCCAAUGCACUGCAAACAGUGCACAUCUUGGGACUUAGUUCCAAUGUAGAUUUAGAAAAUUAUCUGAUAUAUAUCUGGGAUCGGAUUUGAAUGAGAAUCAGCACCUUUGGGGGUUUUUUUUUUAAGUCGCUUGCUUUUAUUUGAUCAAAAACAAUGUUACUGAUAGAAGCAAAAUCUG